UAGUCCACGCUGUAAACGAUGUCUACUAGCCGUUGGUUUCCUUGAGGAAGCAGUGGCGCAGUUAACGCGAUAAGUAGACCGCCUGGGGAGUACGGCCGCAAGGUUAAAACUCAAAUGAAUUGACGGGGGCCCGCACAAGCGGUGGAGCAUGUGGUUUAAUUCGAUGCAACGCGAAGAACCUUACCUACCCUUGACAUCCUCAGAACUUGUUAGAGAUAACUUGGUGCCUUCGGGAAUUGAGUGACAGGUGCUGCAUGGCUGUCGUCAGUUCGUGUCGUGAGAUGUUGGGUUAAGUCCCGCAACGAGCGCAACCCUUGUCCCUAGUUGCCAGCACAUAAUGGUGGGAACUCUAGGGAGACUGCCGGUGACAAACCGGAGGAAGGUGGGGAUGACGUCAAGUCAUCAUGGCCCUUAUGGUAGGGCUACACACGUGCUACAAUGGUCGGUACAACGGGUAGCGAGCUUGCGAAAGUCAGCCAAUCCCUAAAAGCCGUUCUCAGUUCGGA
rnacentral:rRNA from 1 species